rnacentral:misc_RNA from 1 species
UACGUAGGUGGCAAGCGUUGUCCGGAAUUAUUGGGCGUAAAGCGCGCGCAGGCGGUCUUUUAAGUCAGGUGUUUAAGCCCGGGGCUCAACCGGGGAGGGCCAUUGGAAACUGGGAGGCUUGAGUAUAGGAGAGAAGAGUGGAAUUCCACGUGUAGCGGUGAAAUGCGUAGAGAUGUGGAGGAACACCAGUGGCGAAGGCGACUCUUUGGCCUAUAACUGACGCUGAGGCGCGAAAGCGUGGGGAGCAAACAGG